UUUCUACAUAUUCCUACAUAAACUCAAAUAUUAAAUAACAUUUUGUAUUGCAAAUGUUUUCUAAAAUGGUUUAUUUAGGUUCAAAUUCACAAUAAAAAUAUAUUCUUAUCCAGCUUUAUUUACUUAUUUAUUAGUAUGUGUACUUACCUUAUCAUAUGAGUUGAUUUAUAAUAGCAACCAACCAGAAUGUGUGAAUGAAAAAGAACUCAAUUAUAAAUAAUUUUGUGGUAUUGUAUUCAAUAUUUUUGGAAUUUUCAAAUCACUAUCAUCAAAUUUUGUUGUAAUUAAAACGAUCGUUAAAAAAUAAAAUAUAAUCAAUUAAUGAUUUAUAAUUAAAAUUUCUUGAAUAAUAGAAAAGUUAACUUUUUGCUUAAUAAUCGUAAAUCGUAAUUAACUGAUUAAAAUAGAAUAAACUAAGUUAUAUCCGAUAUAACGUAGUAGCACAAAAUGAAAACUCUCAUAACGCAAUUAUAUGAGAAGUGUGAAUAAUAUCGGAGCGCUCACGUUGAUAUCUUAAAUUACGAUUGACUUCAUUUACAUCGAACGGUGUAAAAUGUGCGCGCGACCCAUUUGCGCAUAGUCUGCGAUAUAACAAAAGAGAUUUAGAAAGAUCACAUCAUGUAUUUGACAUGAUCAUAUCUAACAUUGUUCAAUUACUAUUCCGCUAUUCCGGUAUCGUACUUGCAAUCGCUUCCUACACAGGAUAUGAAAUUGUGCCGUUCCCUAGCACUAUCAUGAAUAAUUUAUAAGUGUAUGUAGGUAUUAAUAUAUCAUGCUAUAUAAAUUUUGUGAUAAAAAAGAAGGAAUUUUUUACAAGUUUAUUUUACAUACGAAGAUCUAAAUUAAUAACUAUUAGUAAUAAAUAUUAGUAAAAAAAAUUACACUAUUUAUUAUAACAAUUUUUUGCAUUGUACGAAAUAUUUAAAAAAGUGAAAUUAUUUUGAGAGUAGAUUAUAUUUUAGAACCUAUUCACUAAAUCGUUUUAAUGAUCUAGUGAAUAGGUCCUAAAAUAAUACUAAUAAAACCCAGCUAGCAAGAUGUCGCCCACUGGACGUCAAUAAUUCGUCAUUUAAGGUCGUCAUGUUACCAAAUUAAGACGUAAUAGUAACGUCAUUUUUUGACCCAUUAAUUACGUCAUUCAUUUAUCCAUCCUACAACGUAUUUCCAAUGUCAUAUUCUUGAAUAAUUAAUAACGUCAGUUAAUUGAUCAUUUUACGAGGUAUUAAUAAGGUUUUAUUAGUGAUUAAUUACUGUGUUAAUUAUGUUAAUUAUAAUUCUCUGUAAUAAUAUCUACAACAUAAACUUUUUGAAUAAUUUUUACGUUAAUCGGUUAUUAUUUGAUUAUUAUAUGUCAAUUUCAAAGUUAACUAUAAACUUAACAUUAAUUACUUAACAUUAAUAACUUAACAUUAAUUAUUAAUGAUAAUUAUUUAUUUAGUUUAUAAUUGCAAAAAUAAUUAAGUAUAAUUUUUAAUGUCAUUAAGGUAAAACGUUAGCUUUAUGACAUUUGGGCUGUGUUUCAAAAUUGCUGUCAGAGAGAACUGUUUCUUUGAAUUUAAUAUAUCCAGAGAUUUAAUAUAUACACACAGAGAGAACUGUUUCUUUGAAUUUAAUAUAUCCAGGUAGCAAACACGAGUCAUUUGUAACGUCAAAUUUUGGUCAUAUUGAUACGAAUGAUGUCUUAUGACCAAAAUACGACCGUGACAUUUAGGGUGUGUUCCAAAAUUUACUGCCAGCGCUAUAAGCAUUACGUCAUCAAGCAUGCUAGUAACAGCGUUCCAUUUUUACAAGCACGCUGCUAAGAUGUUCAAAACGGAACGCUACUGUCAGUGCUAGCAGUGCUACGUAGUGUUAUUCGAAUAAAUUAACUUUAAAAUAGAGAACUUUGUUCUGGGCCGCCGAGACAGAAGUAGACGGGACUGCCUCUACAUGGUGCUAUUCAAAUAAAUUAACCUUAAAAAAAGAAGAAUCUUAAAAGAAGAAGAAGAAGAACACCUUAAAAUAUGGAGAGAAACAAACAGCUUUUGAUUGGAACAUAUUUAAAUUUAAUUCUUGAAGAAUUUGACGAGGAAUCAAGCGAUGAAUCCGAUUCUGCAGAAAUAAUAAACAUAAUACAAAAUUCUUUCGAACGUAUACCUAAAGUACGCUGCAAGAACUAUCUCGAGAAUGUAAUAUGGGAAUAUAGUGAUAGUGACUUUAAAAGUCAUUUUUGUCUUAGUCGAUCAACGUUUGCAUUUUUGUUAGAGCUAUUAGCUCCACAAUUAUCAAAACAAUCCAAAGGACAAGGUAGACAUACAAUAAAACCAGAAAAGAUAUUACUGUUGGCAAUAUGGAUGAUGGCAACUCCUAAUUCGUAAAGAUGUGUUGCUGAUCAUUUUGAUGUAGGAAAAGCAACAGCUUGGAGGUGUGUUCACAAAGUUGUGAAUGCAUUAUAUUUACAUCUUCAAACAUUUAUUACAUGGCCAGAUAGAGCUAAAAGUGAAGAAAUCUGGACACAUAUUAAAAACAAACACAAAUUUCCGAAAGUAAUUGGAGCAAUAGACGGUACUCAUAUUAAAAUUGCAGCAUCAAAACUACACCCUGAUGCAUACGUAAAUAGAAAGGGCUAUCAUUCCAUACAAUUACAGAUAAUAUGCGAUCAUGAAUUAAAAAUCACUCAUGUUUAUGCGGGGCAGGUUGGAUCAGUACAUGACAUGAUAGUGUUUAGAUUAUCUGGAUUUGAAAACAUGUGUGUUCCACAAAAUUUCCCUGAAAACAGCCAUUUGUUAGGUGAUGCCGCAUAUAGCAUCCAAAAAUAUUUAAUGGUUUCAUUUAAAGAUAAUGGACAUUUAACAAAUGCACAAAUUAAAUACAAUACUUGCUUGUCUCAAGCCAGGAUGAUGGUAAAAAGAACAAUAGGAUUACUAAAAGGAAGAUUUCGAAGUCUCCUGGAUAUACUACCUAUGCGAAGAACAGAUUUAAUACCUAAAUAUAUUUGUGCUUGUUGUAUUCUACACUUCUCGCAAAAA
rnacentral:lncRNA from 1 species